rnacentral:rRNA from 1 species
CGCUAUUGGAUGAGCCUGCGUUGGAUUAGCUUGUUGGUGGGGUAAAGGCCUACCAAGGCGACGAUCCAUAGCUGGUCUGAGAGGAUGAUCAGCCACACUGGGACUGAGACACGGCCCAGACUCCUACGGGAGGCAGCAGUGGGGAAUCUUGCACAAUGGAGGAAACUCUGAUGCAGCGAUGCCGCGUGAGUGAAGAAGGCCUUUGGGUUGUAAAGCUCUUUCGUCGGGGAAGAAAAUGACUGUACCCGAAUAAGAAGGUCCGGCUAACUUCGUGCCAGCAGCCGCGGUAAUACGAAGGGACCUAGCGUAGUUCGGAAUUACUGGGCUUAAAGAGUUCGUAGGUGGUUGAAAAAGUUGGUGGUGAAAUCCCAGAGCUUAACUCUGGAACUGCCAUCAAAACUUUUCAGCUAGAGUAUGAUAGAGGAAAGCAGAAUUUCUAGUGUAGAGGUGAAAUUCGUAGAUAUUAGAAAGAAUACCAAUUGCGAAGGCAGCUUUCUGGAUCAUUACUGACACUGAGGAACGAAAGCAUGGGUAGCGAACAGGAUUAGAUACCCUGGUAGUCCACGCCGUAAACGAUGACAACUAGCUGUUGGGAGACAAUGUCUUUCAGUGGCGCAGCUAACGUUUUAAGUUGUCCGCCUGGGGAGUACGGCCGCAAGGCUAAAACUCAAAUGAAUUGACGGGGACCCGCACAAGCGGUGGAGCAUGUGGUUUAAUUCGAUGCAACGCGAAAAACCUUACCUACUCUUGACAUACUUGGAAGCUCUUGUAAUGAGAGUGUGCCUUUUGGAGCCAAGAUACAGGUGCUGCAUGGCUGUCGUCAGCUCGUGUCGUGAGAUGUUCCGUUAAGUCGGAUAACGAGCGCAACCCUUACCCUUAUUUGCCAGCGAUUCGGUCGGGAACUAUAAGGGGACUGCCGGUGAUAAACCGGAGGAAGGUGGGGACGACGUCAAGUCCUCAUGGCCCUUACGGGAUGGGCUACACACGUGCUACAAUGGCAGUGACAAUGGGUUAAUCCCCAAAAGCUGUCUCAGUUCGGAUUGAGGUCUGAAACUCGACCUCAUGAAGUCGGAAUCGCUAGUAAUCGCGUAACAGCAUGACGCGGUGAAUACGUUCCCGGGUCUUGUACACACCGCCCGUCACACCAUGGAAGUGUGUUGUACCAGAAGCAGGUAGACUAACCUUCGGGAGGUCGCCUACCACGGUAUGAUUCAUGACUAGGGUUAAGUCAUAACAAGGUAGCCGUA